rnacentral:rRNA from 1 species
CCUACGGGGGGCUGCAGUAGGGAAUUUUCGUCAAUGGGCGCAAGCCUGAACGAGCAAUGCCGCGUGAACGAGGAAGGUCUUCGGAUCGUAAAGUUCUGUUGAAGGGGAAAAAGAGCGGAGAGAGGAAAUGCUUUCUGAUUGAUAUUACCCUUCGAGGAAGUCACGGCUAACUACGUGCCAUCAGCCGCGGUAAUACGUAGGUGGCGAGCGUUAUCCGGAAUGAUGGGGCGUAAAGGGUGCGUAGGCGGCCUGCUAAGUCUGGAGUGAAAGGUACCGGCUCAACCGGUACAGGCUCUGGAAACUGGCGGGCUAGAGAGCAGGAGAGGGCGGUGGAACUCAAUGGGUAGCGGUAAAAUGCGUAGAUAUAUGGAAGAACACCAGUGGCGAAGGCGGCCGCCUGGCCUGUUACUGACGCUGAGGCACGAAAGCGUGGGGAGCAAAUAGGAUUAGAUACCCCAGUAGUC